GAUGAAGAACGUAGCGAAAUGCGAUAAGUAAUGUGAAUUGCAGAAUUCAGUGAAUCAUCGAAUCUUUGAACGCACAUUGCGCCCGGUAGUAUUCUGCCGGGCAUGCCUGUUCGAGCGUCAUUUCAACCAUCAAGCCCCAGCGCUUGUGUUGGGGGCCUGCGGCUGCCGCAGCCCCCUAAAAGCAGUGGCGGGCUCGCUAUCACACCGAGUGCAGUAGAUUACUCUUCGCUCAGGGCGUGCAGCGGGUUCCGGCCGUGAAACCCCCUACUUUUAAAGGUUGACCUCGGAUCAGGUAGGAAUACCCGCUGAACUUAAGCAUAUCAAUAAGCGGAGGA
rnacentral:misc_RNA from 1 species